rnacentral:rRNA from 1 species
GACGGAGGAUGCAAGCGUUAUCCGGAAUGAUUGGGCGUAAAGCGUCCGCAGGUGGCAGUUCAAGUCUGCUGUCAAAGACCGGGGCUUAACUUCGGAAAGGCAGUGGAAACUGAACAGCUAGAGUAUGGUAGGGGCAGAGGGAAUUCCUGGUGUAGCGGUGAAAUGCGUAGAGAUUGGGAAGAACACCGGUGGCGAAAGCGCUCUGCUGGGCCAUAACUGACACUCAGGGACGAAAGCUAGGGGAGCGAAUGGG